GCCGGAGUGGCGGAAUUGGUAGACGCAAGGGACUUAAAAUCCCUCGGGGGCAACCCCGCACGGGUUCGAAUCCCGUCUCCGGCA
rnacentral:tRNA from 1 species